GCUCCUGUAGCCCAACUGGAAAGAGGCGACCGUUUCAGGGACGGUAGGAUGUGAGUUCGAGUCUCACCAGGAGUA
rnacentral:tRNA from 1 species